GGCCUUGGUCCCUUGGAGUUCACAGUCUAAUGGGGAAGACAGGAUAUAAGCAAGUAGUUUCAGCAUAGCUUUGGAAUUGCAUGCAGAGAAGUGAGUGAAGUGAGUGAGGGCCCAGCCAAGGCAGAUAAAGAAAAGACCCAGAAAGAUCUCACCAGGAGGCUGUGGGACUCCAAGUUGCUCUCUUCAGAUAUAGGUCAAAAAAACUAACUUCCUGACCCUUUCUUCAUGCCUUGCAAUAAGAUCUUGUAGUUUCUAUGUCUGGGGCAGUGCUGAGUCUAGAAGGCUUCCUGUGAUUUACAAAAAGCCUGUGAGGAAAUGGAGAUGUCCCUGAGCCUGCCUAAACCUGCAACAGUGAUCCAUUGUAUUUCCAGGGGGCAACCCAUCAUACUUUGAUGCUGGAGUAAAGUGGCAUGAUCUCGGCUCACUGCAGCCUCCGCCCCCGCCAGGUUCAAGUGAUUCUCCUGCCUCAGCCUCCCGAGUAGCUGGGAUUACAGGCGCAGGCCACCAUGCCCAGUUUGGGGUUUUCAGGGCUGUGGUUGUGAAGAAGAUCAAGACCCAUGAUGGGAAGCUGGUAUCCAAGUCCUCUGACGUCCUGCUCAAGUGAACAGCCACAGCAGCCCCUCCCAGCCUAUCCUUCCUGCAGCUGCCCCAGAGCCCAUGAGAAAAGCCACUGCGCAGGGGAGCACAGGGAACAGGAGACCCACCUGAGGCUCAGCCCUAUCCCUAAGCCCACAUAGGGGAGUUUACUCUCUGGGGCACCCCCCUUGCCCAUGCCUCCAGCAACAAAACAAUUCAAUUGCUUUUUUUUUUUUUUUUUUUUGUCCAAAAUAAAACCUCUGCUAGCUCUGGAAAAAAAAAAAA
rnacentral:lncRNA from 1 species